UGUCUGGUCGAGGGCAGCAGGAAGUUUGCUGCAGGUUCCUUCCUGAGGAAGGAGGGACUUGCCUGCUCCUGGACGCAGUCAACGACAGCAGCGACAACGCCGAACGAUGAUCACACAGCACCGAGCCGGUCAAGAUGCACGGAUCACUGACUGGUCUUGAUCCAAAUACAUUAGAACGAUGGAGCCGGACUCACGACCCGAAGGACGCAGACUGAUUGGACGAGAAGAAGAGAGGGGGAGAGUUACAGAUCAGUCGGCUACCGUGAUGGCCUCAGCUCUGUGGGCAAACUCACCUGCUCCUGCAUCACCUGCAUUGGUAAGAUCUGCUCUCUUGGAACCUUCAGACUUCAUCAUCAUCACUUUUUGUAAUUAAAACUAUUUUUUGCAUUAGUUCUGCUGAUGCAUUGAGUCUGGACUGAACCAUGACAAGCCAAGUAAAGGAUAAUAAUCAUCAAACUGGAGUCUGAUAACUUCAUCCUGGGUCACUUCUGAAAAUUAAAAGCUGCAAAAUGUUUCACUCUGUCUACAUGGAUCUAUAUAUGGGAUGAUAUGACAUUCCAGUAUCACAUGACUGAGUUUUAACAAAAAAUCUAAAGCUAAAUUGGUAACAUUUGCUUUAUUAUGAAAUGGAAAGGCAGCUAUUAAUUUCUUCUACUGCUAAAAUCAAACAUGUUAAAUGUUGAAACUAUAAUAAUGUUACCAGACAUUUGUUUUCUAGAUUUUGAAACACAAAAACAGAGAAUAAACAGCUGACAAAUUAUAAAUGUGUUUAUGAAUAUCAACUUUUUGUAUGAUCAGCAGUGCAUUUUUAUUGCUAGGUAUGUUAAA